ensembl:lncRNA
CCACCAGCCCCCCAGGCAGGUGGAGCUGGGAGGAGACAGGUGGAGCUGGGAGGGAGACAGGUGGAGGUGGGAGAGAGACAGGUGGCGCUGGGAGGGAGACAGGUGGAGGGGGGAGAGAGACAGACAGGUGGAGGCGGGAGAGAGACAGACAGGUGGAUGUGGAGAGAGACAGUCCUCCCCAGGCAGGUGGAAGUGGGAGAGAGACAGGUGGAGGUGGGAGAGAGAAAGACAGGUGGAGGUGGGAGAGAGACAGACAGGUGGAUGUGGAGAGAGACAGUCCUCCCCAGGCAGGUGGAGGUGGGAGAGAGACAGGUGGAUGUGGGAGAGAGAGACAGGUGGAGGUGGGAGAGAGACUGAGCCUC